AACAAAACUCAAAAUUUUAAUAUGUGGUGGACUUUCUGGACUUACGAAAAAAAAGAAGUUGUAAAUCGGCCUGCGAAGAUGGGUUCGAAGAUGAAGUCUGUCCAGAUGGAAUCUGUUGAAGGAGACGAAGAUGGGAUCUGUCGAGAUGGGAUUUGUGGGAUCUAUCGAGAUGGGUAAAAUUGAAGGAGACGAACAUGACAUUUUUGAGUCUGAUUUUGUUGUCUUUAAAUUUCUGUUUGGAUGCUAAGAAAGUGUAUUUCUGUUUGGAUGGUGAGAAAAUGUGGAAUCUUGAGUUUGAUUUUUGUUU